GUCUACGGCCACGACAGCCUCAACAUGCCCGAUAUUGUCUGAGUUCGGAAGCUAAGCAGGGUCGGGCUUGGUUAGUACUUGGAUGGGAGACCACCUAGGAAGACCAAGUGCUGUAGGCG
rnacentral:rRNA from 1 species